rnacentral:rRNA from 1 species
AACGAACGCUGGCGGCAGGCUUAACACAUGCAAGUCGAGCGCCCCGCAAGGGGAGCGGCAGACGGGUGAGUAACGCGUGGGAACGUACCUUUUGGUUCGGAACAACUCCGGGAAACUGGAGCUAAUACCGGAUAAGCCCUAACGGGGAAAGAUUUAUCGCCGAAAGAUCGGCCCGCGUCUGAUUAGCUAGUUGGUGAGGUAACGGCUCACCAAGGCGACGAUCAGUAGCUGGUCUGAGAGGAUGAUCAGCCACACUGGGACUGAGACACGGCCCAGACUCCUACGGGAGGCAGCAGUGGGGAAUAUUGGACAAUGGGCGCAAGCCUGAUCCAGCCAUGCCGCGUGAGUGAUGAAGGCCUUAGGGUUGUAAAGCUCUUUUGUCCGGGAAGAUAAUAACUGUACCGGAAGAAUAAGCCCCGGCUAACUUCGUG